CAAUAGCGUAUAUUAAAGUUGUUGCGGUUAAAAAGCUCGUAGUCGGAUUUCGGGCGGCGGCCAAUGGUUCGGUUCCGUGCCGAUACUGCUGGUCGCGGCCUCCACGCCGGUCGUCCUUCGUGCUCUUACUGAGUGCCUUAGGUAGCCGGAGCGUUACUUUGUAAAAAUUAAGAGUGUUCAAGGCAGGCCUCGAGCCUGAAUGAUGGUGCAUGGAAUAAUGGAAUAGGACCUCGGUUCUAUUUUGUUGGUCUUCGGAACUGGAGGUAAUGAUUAAUAGGGACGGACGGGGGCAUUCGUAUUGCGGCGUUAGAGGUGAAAUUCUUGGAUCGUCGCAAGACGGACUACUGCGAAAGCAUUUGCCAAGAAUGUUUUCAUUGAUCAAGAGCGAAAGUCAGAGGAUCGAAGACGAUCAGAUACCAU
rnacentral:rRNA from 1 species